UGGGGGAUUCUGGCUGCGACACAACCAAGUCUGUCCUGACAGCAUCUCCCAUUACCUGUGGGAGCUGGAGCCCAGUUAGAAAGCGGUAGCUCUGCUCCGGAGAAAGCACCUGCCCGCAGUCCCCACCAACCAGCAACCGUUCCCUAGCAGGAGGUCAUCUCCAGGAGAAAUAUCAAGGAAACUUUCCUACACCUGCUGGCCCAGGUUCUUUUUUAGGGCUGCUGGCAGCACCGCCUCCCCCAGAGAAACACAAGCAGUGCCUGGAAGUCACCAUGAAAUGCGAUGCCUUUGAGAAGUUCCGUGGAAAGAAUGACAUCAUCACCAGCCCUUCCCCCCACCCCACCUUUUUUCCAGUGGGAGUGAGAAAUAAAUAGACUGACACAUUUUCCAGUCAAGGAGCGA